GUGAUUAUUCUUAAUUUUCAGGAAGACAAACUCAAUGAUACAACUGAGAAAAGCCUCUGGAUGGUCCAACAAGAAUGUGAACAGUUGCAGAAUUUGGGGAAGGAUAGCUUGAAAUACCAGUAGGUUGCUUACACAAGUGUGCUAAUACUUGUUGGGACUGAAAAUUAGUGCAAAUUGGUGACCAUGGCAAAAUAAAAAAUUCCUAAGAAGUAAAAAAAUAAAAGUCAGUCUUUGUUUUGCAGUUCACAAACUCUGGGAAAUAAUAAAAACACAAAAACCGACAAUGCACAUUGAAUUGUUACAUUAAAUCUUCUAUCAGAAAUGAGGUUAGAAUAGAGUGCCGGGGUUCCCACAGGAGAUCCUGGCUGACUGAUCCACGCAGCCCGCCCCGCGGCUACAGACGGUGGGGCACCACCGAGAAGUGACCAGCAAGCAGGGAGAAACGUUGCUGCGGAUUCUGUGGAAUCCUGCUGGCUGAGCCCCAACUGACCCCCGGGCUGAGUUCGGGAUUUCAGACGGGGAAGGAAGUGGUACAGUUCUAUCCCCCACAACGGAAACUCCGCCAAGAAAACCAGCAGCCACCAUCUUGGAGAGCUGAAGUAACCACCGCCACUCUCCGACAGAUUGCAACAAUAAAACAGGUGUGUGUUACUCAGCUCAUCUCCCAUACAGCGGAGAAUUCACAUAAAAUCUCACCUAGGCUUUCUGGGGGUGGGAUUAUCAGAGCAAGCCUGCAUAAAGACUCGGGGAAAACUAGAGACACCUGACCUUCAACUCCCCCUCCCAUUAGCGGUGAAAACGAAACCUGUCUAGCCAGCGCUGGGGGAGGGGCAAGCGGAAAAAAUCAAAACAAUAGAGUGCCGGGGUUCCCAAUAGACACCCUCCACACCCAACAAACGGCAGGACCAGAGUACAGUUUGAACUGCCGAGAGGCAUCACUCAGGGGAAAUCUGGUCUAGCAGGAGAAACCAGGACUAACAGGAGAAACCAAGGGACUAGAGGCCAGGCCCUCGCGACUGGGAGGCUGGAG
rnacentral:lncRNA from 1 species